ACUGGACUGCUCCACUGGUAAGAGCACGAGACUCGGAAUCUCAGGGUUGUGGGUUUGAGCCCCACGUCGGGCA